UACAGAGGGGGCAAGCGUUGUUCGGAAUUACUGGGCGUAAAGGGCGCGUAGGCGGCCCUCUAAGUCGAACGUGAAAUCCCUGGGCUCAACCCAGGAACUGCGUCCGAUACUGGGAGGCUUGAAUCCGGGAGAGGGAUGUGGAAUUCCAGGUGUAGCGGUGAAAUGCGUAGAUAUCUGGAGGAACACCGGUGGCGAAGGCGGCAUCCUGGACCGGUAUUGACGCUGAUGCGCGAAAGCCAGGGGAGCAAACGGG
rnacentral:rRNA from 1 species